UACGGGGGGGGGCAAGCGUUGUCCGGAAUUACUGGGCGUAAAGAGCUCGUAGGCGGUUUGUCGCGUCUGCUGUGAAAACUCAGGGCUUAACCCUGAGCUUGCAGUGGGUACGGGCAGACUAGAGUGCGGUAGGGGAGACUGGAAUUCCUGGUGUAGCGGUGAAAUGCGCAGAUAUCAGGAGGAACACCGGUGGCGAAGGCGGGUCUCUGGGCCGUAACUGACGCUGAGGAGCGAAAGCAUGGGGAGCGAACAGG
rnacentral:rRNA from 1 species